CAGUAUUCUGUGCACGUGAAAAUGAGAUAAAUAUAAAUUAAUAGGAAAAAAACGUGGAGCAACAAAAUUGUACACUUACACGCCGGAAACGAAAAAUCGAAAAGAGCGAAAAGUGUGACCGCCGCUCGAUACAAGCAUGAUACCUCAAAAUGUGGACGCGACAAGGUGUGAAACUUGGAUGCGCAACUAGCUAAGAACUGAACCCAAAUUUAUCGAGAUUUUG
ensembl:ncRNA asRNA:CR45305 antisense RNA:CR45305